GACGAACGCUGGCGGCGUGCCUAAUACAUGCAAGUCGAACGCUGAAGGAGGAGCUUGCUUCUCUGGAUGAGUUGCGAACGGGUGGGUAACGCGUAGGUAACCUGCCUGGUAGCGGGGGAUAACUAUUGGAAACGAUAGCUAAUACCGCAUAAUAGUAGAUGUUGCAUGACAUUUGCUUAAAAGGUGCAAUUGCAUCACUACCAGAUGGACCUGCGUUGUAUUAGCUAGUUGGUGAGGUAACGGCUCACCAAGGCAACGAUGCAUAGCCGACCUGAGAGGGGGAUCGGCCAAACUGGGACGGAGACACGGCCCAGACUACUACGGGAGGGAGCAGUAGGGAAGCUUCGGCAAUGGACGGAAGGCUGAACGAGCAACGCCGAGGGAGUGAAGAAGGUUGUCGGAUCGUAAAGCUCGGUUGUAAGAGAAGAACGAGUGUGAGAGUGGAAAGUUCACACUGUGACGGUAGCUUAACAGAAAGGGACGGCUAACUACGUG
rnacentral:rRNA from 1 species